rnacentral:rRNA from 1 species
AGUGAACGCUGGCGGUAGGCCUAACACAUGCAAGUCGAACGGCAGCACAGUAAGAGCUUGCUCUUACGGGUGGCGAGUGGCGGACGGGUGCGGAAUACAUCGGAAUCUACUUUUUCGUGGGGGAUAAAGUAGGGAAACUUACGCUAAUACCGCAUACGACCUACGGGUGAAAGCAGGGGAUCUUCGUAACUUGCGUGAUUGAAUGAGCCGAUGUCGGAUUAGCGAGUUGGCGGGGGAAAGGCCCACCAAGGCGACGAUCCGUAGCUGAUCUGAGGGGAUGAUCGGCGACACUGGAACUGGAACACGGUCCAGACUCCUACGGGAGGCCGCAGUGGGGAAUAUUGGACGGUGGGCGCAAGCCUGAUCCAGCCAUACCGCGUGGGUGAAGAAGGCCUUCGGGUUGUAAAGCCCUUUUGUUGGGAAAGAAAAGCAGCAGGUUAAUACCCCGCUGUUCUGACGGUACCCAAAGAAUAAGCACCGGCUAACUUCGUG